rnacentral:lncRNA from 1 species
CCACCACCGUCUCGGCUCUUCUUUUCCCCCUCCCCGACUCCCUCUCCGCGUCUCGUCUCGUCUCGUCGCCGCCCGACCCUCGCUCGCCUCUUCCCGAGGUCUCCACGAUAUUACAUCCCCGAUCGUGCCCGGGGCUUCGUUCCGGUACGUGAGGGGGUCGGCGAUGUUCUUCUCGGGUGACCCGUCGGCGCGGCGGCGGGUCGACCUCGGCGGCCGGAGCAGCAAGGAGCGGGACCGCAAGGUGCUGCUCGAGCAGACGCGCGAGGAGCGGCGUCGGCGCCAGGGCCUCCGACUACAGAACACCUCCGCCACGAAGAUCCAGAGGGAAGAAG